rnacentral:rRNA from 1 species
AGUGAACGCUGGCGGUAGGCCUAACACAUGCAAGUCGAACGGCAGCACAGUAAGAGCUUGCUCUUACGGGUGGCGAGUGGCGGACGGGUGAGGAAUACAUCGGAAUCUACUUUUUCGUGGGGGAUAACGUAGGGAAACUUACGCUAAUACCGCAUACAACCUACGGGUGAAAGCAGGGGAUCUUCGGACCUUGCGCGAUUGAAUGAGCCGAUGUCGGAUUAGCUAGUUGGCGGGGUAAAGGCCCACCAAGGCGACGAUCCGUAGCUGGUCUGAGAGGAUGAUCGGCCACACUGGAACUGGGACACGGUCCAGACUCCUACGGGAGGCAGCAGUGGGGAAUAUUAGACAAUGGGCGCAAGCCUGAUCCAGCCCUACCGCGUGGGUGAAGAAGGCCUUCGGGUUGUAAAGCCCUUUUGUUGGGAAAGAAAAGCAGCAGGUUGAUACGCCGCUGUUCUGACGGUACCCAAAGAAUAAGCACCGGCUAACUUCGUG